rnacentral:lncRNA from 1 species
CUUCUAAAUAAAUAGUACUUUUGGAAAGAACUUUGCUCUGAAUCUUUUAUUUAUUUAUUUAUUGUGUCUUUAGUCUAACCUAAAGUUCUCCUUUCUUUACCAGGAUGGUAACAGCACUUAACGCUAAGCCUGCAAGCCAGUUGAUGUCAGGACAGAGUCCUGAAUACUCACCUCAGUGAGGUGCUGGGAUCUUUGCGAGUUAAAAAGAAGACAAGCCCUGGCACUCAGUGGCAAAACCAACACAAUACUUACAGUGAUUCUGUUCUUACGUGUUCUUCAGUAACUGUGUUUAGGACCUUUAACCUUAGCUGCUGCUGCUGCUGCUGCUGCUAAGUCGCUUCAGUCGUGUCCGA